rnacentral:rRNA from 1 species
ACUGCUAUGGCCUACCUUUCUGCCGGGGACGAGCUCCUGGGCUUAACUGUCCGGGACUCGGAAUCGGCGAGGUUACUUUGAGUAAAUUAGAGUGUUCAAAGCAAGCCUACGCUCUGAAUACAUUAGCAUGGAAUAACACGAUAGGACUCUGGCUUAUCUUGUUGGUCUGUAAGACCGGAGUAAUGAUUAAGAGGGACAGUCGGGGGCAUUCGUAUUUCAUUGUCAGAGGUGAAAUUCUUGGAUUUAUGAAAGACGAACUUCUGCGAAAGCAUUUGCCAAGGAUGUUUUCAUUAAUCAAGAACGAAAGUUGGGGGCUCGAAGACGAUUAGAUACCGUCGUAGUCUCAACCAUAAACGAUGCCGACUA